rnacentral:lncRNA from 1 species
GCCAGGACAGGUGUGUGUACCAAACAGAAAGGAUUUAGGAACAAGUGGACUGCUUUCCACCACUGCCUUCUCAGGUCUCAAAGGGUGCAGUGCAGAGAGAAGCAAAAGUAAUCUGUCCUGAGGAAGGGAAAACAAUGGUCCCAAGCAUUGUAUCACUGAGUAGCCAAGUUGGGAAUCCCUCCUGAAUCAGUCCUGCCUCUGGACAAAGCUGCUCCUUCCUUGUGUGUACAGCAGAUGCCCACACCAAAGCAAUUACCAUAUGGGAGAUGCUGACUGGCUGGAAGAACCUGUUCAUUCUGGGUCUGUAAUGGAGUCUGUGAGGAGCUCAGCUUCCUGGUAUGGAAGAAGGAGAACUUCCUUGUCAACAACUGAGAAGAUUCUGAAGAACUCAAAGGUAUGUGAGGAGGUAACAAGGGGACAGCUAAAAUGUAUAUUAUUGUUCAGUUUCUGUGCUAAUCUCAAGAGUGAUCAUUCUGAGAAGGUAAAUUCUUUGCUCACAAGUCUUUGGUAUUCAGGUGCCCUGCGGGAGCAAUGCAAAGACACAGGAAAGAUUUUCACCACUUGA